rnacentral:lncRNA from 1 species
GGAAGGUUUUGCAAAGAUCAUAGACAUAGACUUCCCUUUAAAAGGUAGAUAAUUUCUCUCCCCUGAUUUCAGCAAGGCCUUAACCUCUGAAGCCUUGUCUAAAAUCGUUUUAAUGGUGGCUGUGUCAAAAUCAUCUAUUGCCAGAAAGUCUUUCAGGUCAGAUUUUCCUGCAAAAAAAUAAAAUCUUAUCAUCUCACAAUCCACUGGAAAUGAAUCUCUAGAUGAAAGCAUCUAAAAGUAUCAAACUUGCGUAGUUUCUCAAUCAAUAGAGGCAAUAAUGAGUCACAUUUUCGAAUGCUAAAAUCAAAAUCCGAUACCAACAUACAAAUUUCAUAAACAAAAUCUGAUCUUUGGGGAAGUUUCCGAAAGAAAUGAUAAUGAAAUGCCUAAAAGGCUAACCUUUGACAUCGGAAGGAGAAGAAGGCGAAGUGACGGAGGAGGCUUGACAUGAAACACGAAGGCGAGGGAGAGCAGGAGAAGGGAGUGAAACGGCGGAGAAUCUCCGA